GAGAAGCGAUACCGCGAGGAGGAGCAAAUCCCAAAAAUAACGUCUCAGUUCGGAUUGUAGUCUGCAACUCGACUACAUGAAGCUGGAAUCGCUAGUAAUCGCGGAUCAGAAUGCCGCGGUGAAUACGUUCCCGGGUCUUGUACACACCGCCCGUCACACCAUGGGAGUUGGGAAUGCCCGAAGUCAGUGACCUAACCGAAAGGAGGGAGCUGCCGAAGGCAGGCCUGAUAACUGGGGUGAAGUCGUAACAAGGUACC
rnacentral:rRNA from 1 species